GAAAAGAAACUAACAAGGAUUCCCCUAGUAGCGGCGAGCGAAGCGGGAAAAGCCCGGGAUGAAAAUCUCUUUGGAGAAUUGUAGUCUGAGCUCCCUUGGGCGGUCAGUGUGGGUAAAUCGUCUGGGAUGACGUGCCAUGGAGGGUGAGAGCCCCGUCCACCCCACACAGGACCCGCCCGCACGAGGGCGCUUCAACCGAGUCGGGUAGCUUGGGAAUGCUGCUCCAAUUGGUGGUAAAUCUCAUCAAAGGCUAAAUAACGGUGGGAGACCGAUAGCGAACAAGUACCGUGAGGGAAAGAUGGAAAGAACUUUGAAAAGAGAGUGAAAAGCGCUUGAAACCGUCACGGGGGAAGCGGAUUGCGUGAGUGAUGGCGUGCACUGUUCAGCUCAAAAUGUGGAGUGUAUUCUGUGCGCGCCGGGCGUGUGUGGCUGGGGUGCGUGCGAAUUUGGCACGCGUUCCUGGUGAGGGCUCCCUGCUUGUCAGGUGAGGACACACGCGAAAUGACGCAAUACGACCCGUCUUGAAACACGGACCAAGGAGUCUAGCACGGCUGCGAGUCGAAGGGUGUUAAAACCCAGAGGGCGCAGUGAAAGCGAAAGAAAGCAAAUUGGGGAGGCGUUGCGGUUUUACCAAAAUGUCCUACCUCGAGCACCUGUGCUGGGACCCGAAAGAUGGUGAACUAUGCCGGAGUAGGGCAAAGCCAGAGGAAACUCUGGUGGAGGCUCGUAGCGAUGCUGACGUGCAAAUCGCUCGUCGAACUUGGGUAUAGGGGCGAAAGACUAAUCGAACCAUCUAGUAGCUGGUUCCCUCCGAAGUUUCUCUCAGGAUAGCGGGCCGACGACAUGUUGUUUUGUGCGGUAAAGCGAAUGAUUAGUGCAUUUGGGGGCCGAAGGCCUUCAGGCGAUUCUCAAACUUUAAAUGCGCAAGGGGGCGGCUGCUUAAUUGAGCCUGCUCUUUGAAAAACGUCGGCCCUGUGGGCCACUUUUGGUAAGCAGAACUGGCGAUAAGGGAUGAACCUUAAGCGCGGUUAAGGCGCCGCAUUGCCCGCUUAUAGACCCCACAAAAGGUGUUGAUUCAUCCAGACAGCAGGACGGUGGCCAUGGAAGUCGGAAUCCGCUAAGGAGUGUGUAACAACUCACCUGCCGAAUGAAUUAGCCCUGAAAAUGGAUGGCGCUGAAGCGGGCAGCCGACACCGCGCCGUUCGGGCGAGACGAUGCCCGGAUGAGUAGGAGGGCGUGGCGGUCAGUGACGCAGGCGUGGGUGCAGACCCCGCUGAAACGGCCGCUAGUGCAGAUCUUGGUGGUAGUAGCAAAUAUUCAAGCGAGAUCCUUGAAGGGCGAAGCGGGGAAGGGUUCCACGCGAACAUUGAUUGGGCGUGGGUGAGUC
rnacentral:rRNA from 1 species